rnacentral:rRNA from 1 species
CCUACGGGGGGCAGCAGUCGAGAAUCAUUCACAAUGGGGGAAACCCUGAUGGUGCGACGCCGCGUGGGGGAAUGAAGGUCUUCGGAUUGUAAACCCCUGUCAUGUGGGAGCAAAUUAAAAAGAUAGUACCACAAGAGGAAGAGACGGCUAACACUGUGCCAGCAGCCGCGGUAAUACAGAGGUCUCAAGCGUUGUUCGGAAUCACGGGGCGUAAAGCGUGCGUAGGCUGUUUCGUAAGUCGUGUGUGAAAGGCGCGGGCUCAACCCGCGGACGGCACAUGAUACUGCGAGACUAGAGUAAGGGAGGGGGAACCGGAAUUCUCGGUGUAGCAGUGAAAUGCGUAGAUAUCGAGAGGAACACUCGUGGCGAAGGCGGGUUCCUGGACAUUAACUGACGCUGAGGCACGAAGGCCAGGGGAGCGAAAGGGAUUAGAUACCCCGGUAGUC